GGUUGUGCUGGCUCCUUGGAGCAUGUGCACGCUUGUCAUUUUUACUUCAUUCUCUCCACUGUGCACCAACUGUAGGUCUGGAGUUUUGAUCAAGGACUGCUGUGCUUUCCUUGCAUCUUCCAGGGUCUAUGUUUUUUUACAAUCCCUCAAUGUGUUUUGGAAUGUUGAAUUGUAUAAUACAACUUUCAGCAACGGAUCUCUUGGCUCUCGCAUCGAUGAAGAACGCAGCGAAAUGCGAUAAGUAAUAUGAAUUGCAGAAUUCAGUGAAUCAUCGAAUCUUUGAACGCAUCUUGCGCUCCUUGGUAUUCUGAGGAGCAUGCCUGUUUGAGUGUCAUCAAGUUCUCAACCAUAUUGAUUUGCUUCAAUUUGGAUUGGAUAAUGGGGUUUGCAGGCCCUUCAAAGGGUCUGCUUUCCUGAAAUAAAUUAGUGGUGUCUGAGCAGAGACUUACUACUACAGGUGUGAUAAAUUAUCUAUGCCUUUUGUAGAGAAACUGCGCAAACUGCUUCGAAUCUCAUUUGUUGACCAAUUUGACCUCAAAUCAGGUAGGACUACCCGCUGAACUUAAGCAUAUCAAUA
rnacentral:rRNA from 1 species